rnacentral:lncRNA from 10 species
ACAGGUGUGAGCCACUGUGCCCGGCUGAAACUUUUUAUGUUUGACAAACUUUCGCAAAUCAGAUUCAAACUUUGGUCCUCAUUAAUCUUUUGAUAUUAGAUCCCCUGAAGUCCAAAAGAGACAUAUUCAAGUUAUUUGAUAUAAUAAAAUCAUACAGGAACUAUUGUCAAAUAUGAAAUGGCAUUUAACCUUCUUUGGAUUAUAUUUAUAUGAGUGUGUUAUUAGUAUGUGUUUCAGAAUUGUAUGAGAUUGUUGUGAUUCUGAUAUGUCCUAGUAUAUAUUAUCAGUAGUAACUAUCAUUAUGUAAAAUUGUUAUAUGCCAUAGAAGUAACCAAAUUUCCUUGUCAGUUGUGUUUAAAAGACUGUUUUAAAACUUUUGUUAUCCACAGUUGUUGUACUCAUAUCCUUUUCAAAAGGUGGUUUUAUAAUCAGCUACAGGACUCUGACAGGUGCUCUCGAAGGCAGGUGUUUAAUAACUUUGGAGACUGUGACACUAGAAUAGAGGAAAAACUUCCAAGACUCUCAUAGACAGAUAUAAAGAAACUGCUUUAAGGGAUCAGAGUUGACUUAGAAAGCCAAUAAAAGCCCCUUUGGAAAGCUGGCCUCCUACCUUGUCUACCCAGUUCUUGUACAGGUUUCUGACCUGUGCUGUGCCUUCUUAAAGGCUGGAGCCUGGAGCACAUGAGGAGAAUUCACAGAAGUGCCUGGAAAGGGAACUGCGGUGGAUCUUACAGAGACUUGAAACAUGUGGAGAAGUUUGGCUUUUAUUCAUAAAGGACAAAGUGCUGCCUCCACCUCCCCACCUGUCUAGUUUUAUUCAGUGAUGUCUAUCCUCAUGACUUGGGCCAUUUUCAUCAUCACGUCUAUUUGGUUACCUAGGUCUGCCGUUUUUUGUUUUUGUUUUUUCCCAAAUGCUUUCCACAUAAGAUGGCCUAGGUGUCAAUUGCUUAUCUCAGUGGAAUCAUUUCUACUCACCUAUAAAAUGGGAGUAAUAAAAAUGCUAUGUAUCCGAUUGUUGUGAGGAUGAAAUGGGAAUACUUGGACAUGGGGCCUGGUUGCUGGUGGAGGCAUCUGCUCUGUUCCCUGCUGCAUCCCUCACUUCCUGCCAUCCUCUUGCCCCACUUCUGCAGUGCUGAGUGACAGGCCCACAGCCUCCAUGCCCUCCUGUUCCUUCCUUCUCUGCUGAUCUUUUCUGUUUCCAGACACAUCUGCCACUACUGUCUGGUCCAAACACUCUUUCACCUAGGAAGUUUAAGCACGUUGUUGAACUAGAAAUAAUGUAUUCACUCAGUUACUUAUACACACAUUCUUUUCCCACUCAUUAAAAGUGGUUUGAAAAAUUUAUUUCAUUGUUCUUAAAGUGCUGAAUCAAGUGUUUUUCCUUUGGUUGGGAAAGGCCUUUGCCGUUUACCUUCAUCCACUCAUUCAUUUGUGAAGAUGUGUGUGCAGGCCCUAUGGUGACAGUGUCUGUCUAAAGUGAAGAGCUCAGCACCCAAACUCUAGAACAUCUGAAAACGUAGCUAGAUCCUGUGUUCUCUUCUCUAACAGAGUUAAAGUUAAGGUGCAUUUACUCAGUGCCUAGGGGGUAAAAAUGUGCGGUUCAGACUUCAACCAUGUGGGUGCUGUUUUUACCCAGAAUACCAACUGAUUCCAGGAAAGAGUAUUAGGAGAUUCAAGAUUUCUAUUUCUUUUGAACAUAUGUUAUUAGAGUUAAUUGUUAGGAAACUAUUUUAAAGAUAAUUAUUUGAAUACUGAAAAUGACUUUGAUUUCUAACAGGAAGCCAGGCUCACUUGUUACUUCCACAUAUGUGAUGAAGGCAAAAGACCACAGUUGCAUACAUUUGCAUAGUUAUCCUCGAGACUGGAAAUGUCAGUAAGAUGCAAUUGAUUGACUUGCUGAUUGUCUUUCCUCAUGUGAGCGUCUUUUCCAUGUUCAUGACCCACCACUGAUAUUCUGUGGAACUGAACUAAAACUAUGGUCCCCGAAGCCUUGUUGGGGGUGUGGAGGAAGGCGAGAGAGUGGAGGGGAGGGGACGGACACAGUAUUCCUGUCAGGGUGCAGCUGCAGCUCUGCUCCAAGGCACACUUUUCCUCUGGAUUCCACAGAAUUUCUCCCAGGGUCAUCCUUCUCCAGUAGCAGCCCCUCCACCUGGAGCAUCACUGGUGGGCAGUUGUGGCGUCAGGCACUGUCUCUGCCCUCAUCUGCUCUGGCUGGGGCAGCAGGAUUGAUUUCAUUCAAAAGACAACUGGUUUUCAUGGCAGGGGCUAUAGUGAGCAGAGCAGAGAACAGGCACUUGGGCGUCCUACUGGCUUUCUUCUUGCCUGAGGCUAGUCCUCCUUGAGCCAAUCCUAUGUCUCCUAGAGCACUUAGUUGUCCCUCUGUACUUUCAACCUCUGGCUCCCGCCCUAUAGUCAUAAAUGUGCUAGAGGCUUAAAACAAAUGCCUCACCACCACCUUUUAUCUCGCCUACCAACAAGUACCCCCCAAAAUUAGGGUUAGCUGAGCAUGGUGUCUCAUGCCUGUAAAUCCCAGCACUUUGGGAGGCCGAGGCAGGAGGAUCACCUGAGCUCAGGAGUUCCAGACCAGCCAGGGCAACAAAGUGAGACCCUGUCUCUAGAAAAAAAAAAAAAAAUUUAGCCAAGCAUGGUGGCACACAGCUGUAGUCCCAGCUACUUAGGAGGCUGGAGGACCACUUGAGCCUGGGAGGUCGAGGCUAUAGUGAGCUGUGAUUGUGCCACUUCACUCCAGCCUGGGCAACAGAGUGAGACCCUGUCUCAUAAAAAAGAAAAUUAAGGUCAUAUUUGCUGUUUACUUCUCUAUCUUCCAUUCAUUUCUUUUUGGUGACAGCUUAAUUGAGAUAGAAUCCAACAUAUCAUACAAUUCACCCAUUGAAGUGUAUAAUUCAAUAGUUCUUAAUAUAUUCACAGAUUGCCAUCAACCCCAAAGGAAACCCUGUGGCCAUUAGCAGUCACUCCCAUUCCCUCCUCUGCUCAGCUGUAGGUAACCACUAAUCAACUUUUUGUCUAUUC